CCUACGGGCGGCUGCAGUGGGGAAUAUUGGGCAAUGGGCGCAAGCCUGACCCAGCAACGCCGCGUGAAGGAAGAAGGCUUUCGGGUUGUAAACUUCUUUUAAGAGGGAAGAGCAGAAGACGGUACCUCUUGAAUAAGCCACGGCUAACUACGUGCAAGCAGCCGCGGUAAUACGUAGGUGGCAAGGGUUGUCCGGAUUUACUGGGUGUAAAGGGCGUGCAGCCGGGAAUACAAGGCAGAUGUGAAAGCCCGCGGCUCAACCGCGGAACUGCAUUUGAAACUGUUUUUCUUGAGUACCGGAGAGGUCAUCGGAAUUCCUUGUGUAGCGGUGAAAUGCGUAGAUAUAAGGAAGAACACCAGUGGCGAAGGCGGAUGACUGGACGGCAACUGACGGUGAGGCGCGAAAGCGUGGGGAGCAAACAGGAUUAGAUACCCUAGUAGUC
rnacentral:rRNA from 1 species